AGCCGCCGCGGUAAUACCAGCUCUCCGAGUGGUGGGGACGCUUAUUGGGCCUAAAGCAUCCGUAGCCGGUCUGGCAAGUCCCUUGUUAAAUCCAGCGAUUCAAUCGCUGGACUGCAAGGGAUACUGUCAGACUAGGGGGCGGGAGAGGCCGACGGUAUUCCCGGGGUAGGGGUGAAAUCCUAUAAUCCCGGGAGGACCACCAGUGGCGAAGGCUGUCGGCUAGAACGCGCCCGACGGUGAGGGAUGAAAGCUGGGGGAGCGAACCGGAUUAGAUACCCGGGUAGUCCCAGCCGUAAACGAUGCGGGCUAGGUGUUGGAACGGCUACGUGCCGUUUCAGUGCCGCAGGGAAGCCAUUAAGCCCGCCGCCUGGGGAGUACGGCCGCAAGGCUGAAACUUAAAGGAAUUGGCGGGGGAGCACCACAAGGGGUGAAGCUUGCGGUUUAAUUGGAGUCAACGCCGGAAAACUUAUCGGGGGCGACAGCAGGAUGAAGGCCAGAUUGAAGGUCUUGCCGGACGAGCUGAGAGGAGGUGCAUGGCCGUCGCCAGUUCGUGCCGUGAGGUGUCCUGUUAAGUCAGGCAACGAUCGAGACCCACGCCCCCUGUUGCCACCGAGGAGGUUUCUCCAAGGGGCACUCUGGGGGGACUGCCGUCGAUAAGGCGGAGGAAGGAGUGGGCCACGGCAGGUCAGUAUGCCCCGAAUCCCCCGGGCCACACGCGAGCUGCAAUGGCUGGGACAGUGGGUUCCGACCUCGAAAGGGGGAGGUAAUCCCUAAACCCAGCCGUAGUUGGGAUCGAGGGCUGAAACUCGCCCUCGUGAACAUGGAAUCCCUAGUAAUCGCGCGUCAUCAUCGCGCGGUGAAUACGUCCCCGCUCCUUGCACACACCGCCCG
rnacentral:rRNA from 1 species